rnacentral:lncRNA from 10 species
AGAGGCUCCGUGGUGGUGGCACUAGCAUUUGCAGCCGAAUUCAAGACUUCUCCAAAAUCACCACCAGCAGGCUUGGUUCCCCCUACUUUAGACUUAAAAAAAAGUUCAAAAAAGGGAAAGACAUUAUGAAACAUAAAACUAGCUGAUUCUGCAUAAAGUAACUCUAAUUCACUUUCAAGAACAAAUACAUCAGCAACCUUAUAGCUCAGUGAUUAUUAUAUAUGUAUGGAAUUUAGUAUUGUUGCAAUGUUCAGUGUGGUUUUAUAGUAAAACUCAUGCAUUCUCCCUUGCUGAAAUAUUCAGAUUGGUAAAUUCUACCCCUUCCCCUUUCCCCCUGCUCCUUGUUCUUCACAGGAAGUCUGUCUAGAAAACUUUGUAAGGUCUAUUAUUUUAAAGUACCUAGUGAACUGUCUGUCUCUACACUUGCAUAACAUUUUGUAUUGCAUCGAAUUGCUCAUUUAGCUACACUCAUUCAAGAAAUAUUGAAUACAACAUGGGAAAGAAAUAUAUGUUUUUUUCUCAGUUACAGUAUAAGCUUUCUAACCCUUUAAUACUUAAAGUGUGGUUCAAGGACCUACAGACUCAACAUUACCUGGGAGCUUAUUAGAAAUGCAGGAUCUCAGAUAUCCUUUCUACCCCACCCAACUCCAGCUACAGAAUUGAAAUCAACACUUGAACAAAAUCCCUGAGUUGUUCAUGUGCACAUUAUAGUUUGUGAAGCACUACUCCAACCUAUCUGGCCUGAAAUUUUGCCAAUAAGCAUUUAUUUCAAUAUAUCUGCCUUGCAUUUGUAUAAUACUUUUUCAAAACCCUUACACAUGUCACUUUAUCCUUUUCAAUGCUAAUCUGUAUAUGCUCUCUCACUGUUACACUGUCCAACAGGACAGCUAACAGUAAGAAAACAGUCAGUGACCAUGGAUGCAAGAAGCUUAUAGUGGGUUUGAACUUGACCUUGCUCUUAGCUCAAUCUUAAUUGAGUGGUCACAGACCCCUUAUUUUCACUCUCAUUCUUUUUGAUCUACCAUCCAAAUUGUUUGGGAAAUGCGAAUAAUGUGUGUUCAUUGUUUAUUAAAUUUAUUAAAACACAUUCCUUAAUUAUAGUAUCAAAUCUCCUUGCAGUUCAACAUGUCUAAAACUGAACUCCUUCCCCCGACAACUAGCCCCUUCUCUAUUCUUUUUUAACACUUUAUAUGGCAAUAGCACCUACCUAGCUGCCCCAGCCUGACACCUGGGGUUGUCCUGGAUUCUUAUCCAACUUGUUCUACAUCCAAUCAAUCUUUUUUUUUUUCCGUGUCACUUCUCACUUCUAAAUAGCUCUAGACUUGGUCCCAUUGCACUAACUUAAUUCACUCUCCAUCAUCUUUGGCUUGGAGUACAACUCCGUCCUUCCAUCUAAUCUGCCUGUCUCCAAUCGUUCUCCCCUUUGAUGUGCAGGGCAGCCACUGAUCUCUCUAACAUUUACAGAAGAAUGCACCACUUGGGUUGUUUAAAACCCUUCAAUGGCUUCCCAUUGCCCCAAGUUCAAACUCUGCAAUGUGGCCUACACAUCUCUCUAGCUUCACCUCCUGCUCAAUAUCCUACAGCACAGUGAAGUUCUUGGUGGUCCUCAAAAGGGCCCUCAAACUUCAAACAUUCCCUUCAACCUAAAAUCCUCAAUGGACAUUACUGAGUCCUCUAAGAGGUCUUCUCUGACCUUCCCUUCCACCAAGCCAGGUGAACUUUCUGCCACUUGUCCUCAUCACACCCUCAGCUUUUCACAUCAGAACCCUUACCUCACUUUAGUUUCAUUGGCCAUUUAAUUGUCUAGGCAUCUUGCAGAAGGGGUCCAUGUCUCUCUUGCUCACUGUGGUAACUCUGGUGCCUAAUACUGAUUGACUGGCACAUGGCAAAUGCUCAGUAAUCACAGAUGAAUGAAUCAACCCAAAAUCUAAAUGGACCUCAUGUUUAAUUAAAUAUAAAUGUAAUUUAACAAAAUUAUAUCCCCAGCAUGUAAUUUUACAGCUUCCUUAGGAUACUUGGGGUAUCUGUUUAAUACGCUAUCCUUUUUUUUUUUUUUUUUUUUUUUUUUUGAGACAGGGUCUGGCUCUGUCACCCAGGCUGGAGUGCAGUGGCAUAAUCGCUGCUCACUCUGCCUCCCGGGCUCAAGCGAUCUUCCUACCUCAGCCUCCCGAGUAGGUGGGACUACAGGUGUAUGCCAACACAUCAGCUAAUUUUUCUAUCGUUUUUGGUAGAGACAGGGUUUUGCCAUGUUUCCCAGGCUGGUCUCAAAUUCCUGGACUCAAGUGAUCUGCCUGCCUUGGCCUCACAAAGUGCUGGAAUUACAGGUGUAAGCCACUGCGCCCAGCCAACAUAUUGUAUGUUUUUAAAUUACACUUUUUAAUCUGAAUGGUGCCUAGUCAUAUUUUAAAGCAGACUUCAUUACAAUUUAUAGAAUCUAAAUAUAUUCAGGAGAGUAUAUAGUGAAUGACCUGGAAGUUUCUCCUCAUGUCCAAUGUCAAAAACACAUAAGAUUCCUGGUUUUCCAAUUUGCCAUUUCAAAAAUUAACACUUGGGGCAGAUUUCAAGGAAAGGCUAUAACAGUCCUAACAAUAUUGAGAACUGAAUUUUAGUAAUCCUUGACUUCCUGCAACUACAGUUUGCUUUCAAAUAUAUGACUUGGCACUAAGAAAAAUAAAGCAGGUCUCUUGAAAUGACAUAGAAGAAUGACUCUUAUAUAUAUUGUUACUCAUCAGAUGCAUAUUGAGCAAUGUGCCAAGAACUGUUCUAAGCCUUUGAGAAGUAUCAGUGACCAAAAAGAACAGGUCCCUGCAUUUAUGGCUCACAAAGCACCCUGCUAGUGAGGGCUGAAUGAAUAAGCUGUAGGACUGUGUGUGUACAGUGUAACUCCUCUUCUGAAAAAACAUUCAUAUGUCUGCAUACAAACAGAAAAGGUAUGUACUAACGUUUGUAUGUUCAAGAAAAAAAACGAUCCAAACAUCACACACCAAGGCGCCUGUCAGGGGGUGGGAUGGUAGGGGAGGGAUAGCAUUAGGAGAAAUACCUAAUGUAGAUGACAGGUUGAUGGGUGCAGUAAACCACCGUGGCACGUGUAUACCUAUGUAACAAGCCUGCACAUUCUGCACAUGUAUCCCAGAACUUAAAAGUAUAAUAAAAAAAUAAAUUAAAAAAAGAUCCAGAUCACUGUAGAGUGUUUUAUUUCAAUAAAUGUACCCUGCUUUUAAAGAUGCAUUUCGUGACUCAAAGUUCUGAAAGACUAAACUGAAUAUUAGUUUUUAAACUGACUGAUAUAAAAACAUUUAAGAUACUAGUUUUAAUCCUUAAAAUAUAUCCCCUAUAAUUAUCAGAGUUAGGAAGUAAUGAAAAUAUGGGUUUUAUACAAACUCCGUAGAGAGGGUCGAGGAAUAGAUGGGAACUAGACAACUUUUGAGGUUGCCUGUGAUCCUAAGAGUUGAUGAUUUUAUAGCUUUGAAUAUAAUCUCAAAGAUAAUAUAAUUUACAAAUCAAUAAAGCUCAUUAUUAUGGGGAAAUGUUCACCUCCACUAAAAUCAAAGAAAUCAAAAAAUAAAAACAGUGAAUCAUAAACGAUCAUCAUGGCAUCAUUAUAAUAAAAAAAAUGUCCAACAAUUGAGGACUGAACAAAUAAUAUCCAUUAUAAGGUAAUACAGGCCAGGCAUGGUGGCUCACACCUGUAAUCCCAGCACUUUGGGAGGCCGAGGCGGGCGGAUCACGAGGUCAGGAGAUGGAGACCAUUCUGGCUGACACAGUGAAACCCCAUCUCUACUAAAAAUACAAAAAAUUAGCCGGGUGUGGUGGCACGCGCCUGUAGUCCCAGCUACUCGGGAGGCUGAGGCAGGAGAAUCGCUUGAACCCAGGAAGUGGAGGUUGCAGUGAGCCAAGAUCACGCCACUGCACUCCAGCCUGGGCAACAGAGUGAGACUCCAUCUCAAAAAAAAAAAAAGUAAUAUACAAGCAGCCAUUGCACAUAAUAUUGAAAGAGAAUACUUACUGAUACAGGAAAAUGAUUAUGAUGUAUGGCUACUUCUUUUUUAAAGCGUAACAGCAUAAUAGCACAUACAUCUAUCACUGUCUGAGUGGUAGGACCAAUUUUUUGUUUUCUUUCUUGUGCUUCCUAUAUUCUUGUUAAUUGUUGACAAGAAAGUUAUAUUAAAUUUUGUCCACCUACAAAGGUACUUGAAAUGAAUAAAGCAAAAAGCAGCACAAAUUUCUAAAGUGCCAUUUCUUUGUAAAUUGUACAUUUCCUUUCAGCAUGUGGCAUGCUGCCACACUACAGCAUACACUAAAAAGAUAUUAAGUACAUAACACCUUAAAUGUCCACUAGUAACAUAAGGAGUAAAGUUAUUUACAUUCUUUAGAUAUUUUUAGAAAGAAAUAUUAAUGUCAAUGAUUUUCGCACAGCAAAGUUAAUUAAGACACCAGGCAAUGUAUCAAAAAGACCCUGUUCAUCUCUCUACUUGCCUUUAAGUUUUCGACCUUUUCUUCAAAUGAUUUAAAAGUUGGGGAGUUUCUAUGGAGAGAAAAGAAAAACAAAUAGUAAAU